AGAGUUUGAUCCUGGCUCAGAUUGAACGCUGGCGGUAUGCUUAACACAUGCAAGUCGAACGGAAACGAAACUAGCUUGCUAGUAGGCGUCGAGUGGCGGACGGGUGAGUAACGCGUAGGAAUCUGCCUGAUAGUGGGGGAUAGCCCGAAGAAAUUCGGAUUAAUACCGCAUAAUCUAUUCGUAGUAAAGUGGGGGACUUUCGAGCCUCACGCUAUCAGAUGAGCCUGCGUAAGAUUAGCUUGUUGGUAGGGUAAAAGCCUACCAAGGCUACGAUCUUUAGCUGGUCUGAGAGGAUGAUCAGCCACAUCGGGACUGAGACACGGCCCGAACUCCUACGGGAGGCAGCAGUGGGGAAUAUUGGACAAUGGGGGCAACCCUGAUCCAGCAAUACCGCGUGUGUGAAGAAGGCCUGAGGGUUGUAAAGCACUUUCAAUUGUGAAGAAAAGUUAACGGUUAAUAACCGUUGACCUUGACGUUAACUUUAGAAGAAGCACCGGCUAACUCCGUGCCAGCAGCCGCGGUAAUACGGAGGGUGCAAGCGUUAAUCGGAAUUACUGGGCGUAAAGCGUGCGUAGGCGGUUUAUUAAGUCAGAUGUGAAAGCCCCGGGCUUAACCUGGGAACUGCAUUUGAAACUGGUCAACUAGAGUAUGGUAGAGGAAAGUGGAAUUUCUGGUGUAGCGGUGAAAUGCGUAGAUAUCAGAAGGAACAUCAAUGGCGAAGGCAGCUUUCUGGACCAAUACUGACGCUGAGGUACGAAAGCGUGGGUAGCAAACAGGAUUAGAUACCCUGGUAGUCCACGCCGUAAACGAUGAUAACUAGCCGUUGGGGGGAUUUACCCCUUAGUGGCGAAGCUAACGCGUUAAGUUAUCCGCCUGGGGAGUACGGCCGCAAGGCUAAAACUCAAAGGAAUUGACGGGGACCCGCACAAGCGGUGGAGCAUGUGGUUUAAUUCGAUGCAACGCGAAGAACCUUACCUGGUCUUGACAUCCUGCGAACUUUCUAGAAAUAGAUUGGUGCCUUCGGGAACGCAGUGACAGGUGCUGCAUGGCUGUCGUCAGCUCGUGUCGUGAGAUGUUGGGUUAAGUCCCGUAACGAGCGCAACCCCUAUCCUUAUUUGCCAGCACAUUAUGGUGGGAACUAUAAGGAGACUGCCGGUGAUAAACCGGAGGAAGGCGGGGACGACGUCAAGUCAUCAUGGCCCUUACGACCAGGGCUACACACGUGCUACAAUGGGAAGGACAAAGAGCCGCGAAGCCGCGAGGUGUAGCUAAUCUCAUAAAUCUUUUCGUAGUCCGGAUUGGAGUCUGCAACUCGACUCCAUGAAGUCGGAAUCGCUAGUAAUCGUAGAUCAGAAUGCUACGGUGAAUACGUUCCCGGGUCUUGUACACACCGCCCGUCAUACCAUGGGAGUGGGUUGCACCAGAAGUGGCUAGUCUAACUUUGUGAGGACGGUCACCACGGUGUGAUUCAUGACUGGGGUAAAGUCGUAACAAGGUAACC
rnacentral:rRNA from 1 species